UACGUAGGGUGCGAGCGUUAAUCGGAAUUACUGGGCGUAAAGCGUGCGCAGGCGGUUGUGCAAGACAGAUGUGAAAUCCCCGGGCUUAACCUGGGAACUGCAUUUGUGACUGCACGGCUAGAGUGUGUCAGAGGGGGGUAGAAUUCCACGUGUAGCAGUGAAAUGCGUGGAUAUGUGGAGGAAUACCGAUGGCGAAGGCAGCCCCCUGGGAUAACACUGACGCUCAUGCACGAAAGCGUGGGGAGCAAACAGG
rnacentral:rRNA from 1 species